GCGAUACAGGGUGACAGCCCCGUACACAAAAAUGCACAUGCUGUGAGCUCGAUGAGUAGGGCGGGACACGUGGUAUCCUGUCUGAAUAUGGGGGGACCAUCCUCCAAGGCUAAAUACUCCUGACUGACCGAUAGUGAACCAGUACCGUGAGGGAAAGGCGAAAAGAACCCCGGCGAGGGGAGUGAAAAAGAACCUGAAACCGUGUACGUACAAGCAGUGGGAGCACGCUUAGGCGUGUGACUGCGUACCUUUUGUAUAAUGGGUCAGCGACUUAUAUUCUGUAGCAAGGUUAACCGAAUAGGGGAGCCGAAGGGAAACCGAGUCUUAACUGGGCGUUAAGUUGCAGGGUAUAGACCCGAAACCCGGUGAUCUAGCCAUGGGCAGGUUGAAGGUUGGGUAACACUAACUGGAGGACCGAACCGACUAAUGUUGAAAAAUUAGCGGAUGACUUGUGGCUGGGGGUGAAAGGCCAAUCAAACCGGGAGAUAGCUGGUUCUCCCCGAAAGCUAUUUAGGUAGCGCCUCGUGAAUUCAUCUCCGGGGGUAGAGCACUGUUUCGGCAAGGGGGUCAUCCCGACUUACCAACCCGAUGCAAACUGCGAAUACCGGAGAAUGUUAUCACGGGAGACACACGGCGGGUGCUAACGUCCGUCGUGAAGAGGGAAACAACCCAGACCGCCAGCUAAGGUCCCAAAGUCAUGGUUAAGUGGGAAACGAUGUGGGAAGGCCCAGACAGCCAGGAUGUUGGCUUAGAAGCAGCCAUCAUUUAAAGAAAGCGUAAUAGCUCACUGGUCGAGUCGGCCUGCGCGGAAGAUGUAACGGGGCUAAACCAUGCACCGAAGCUGCGGCAGCGACGCUUAUGCGUUGUUGGGUAGGGGAGCGUUCUGUAAGCCUGUGAAGGUGUACUGUGAGGUAUGCUGGAGGUAUCAGAAGUGCGAAUGCUGACAUAAGUAACGAUAAAGCGGGUGAAAAGCCCGCUCGCCGGAAGACCAAGGGUUCCUGUCCAACGUUAAUCGGGGCAGGGUGAGUCGACCCCUAAGGCGAGGCCGAAAGGCGUAGUCGAUGGGAAACAGGUUAAUAUUCCUGUACUUGGUGUUACUGCGAAGGGGGGACGGAGAAGGCUAUGUUGGCCGGGCGACGGUUGUCCCGGUUUAAGCGUGUAGGCUGGUUUUCCAGGCAAAUCCGGAAAAUCAAGGCUGAGGCGUGAUGACGAGGCACUACGGUGCUGAAGCAACAAAUGCCCUGCUUCCAGGAAAAGCCUCUAAGCAUCAGGUAACAUCAAAUCGUACCCCAAACCGACACAGGUGGUCAGGUAGAGAAUACCAAGGCGCUUGAGAGAACUCGGGUGAAGGAACUAGGCAAAAUGGUGCCGUAACUUCGGGAGAAGGCACGCUGAUAUGUAGGUGAAGUCCCUCGCGGAUGGAGCUGAAAUCAGUCGAAGAUACCAGCUGGCUGCAACUGUUUAUUAAAAACACAGCACUGUGCAAACACGAAAGUGGACGUAUACGGUGUGACGCCUGCCCGGUGCCGGAAGGUUAAUUGAUGGGGUUAGCGCAAGCGAAGCUCUUGAUCGAAGCCCCG
rnacentral:rRNA from 1 species